rnacentral:rRNA from 1 species
UGACCUCAAAUCAGGUAGGACUACCCGCUGAACUUAAGCAUAUCAAUAAGCGGAGGAAAAGAAACUAACAAGGAUUCCCCUAGUAACUGCGAGUGAAGCGGGAAAAGCUCAAAUUUAAAAUCUGGUAGUCUUUGGCUGCCCGAGUUGUAAUCUGGAGAAGCGUCUUCCGCGCUGGACCGUGUACAAGUCUCCUGGAACGGAGCGUCAUAGAGGGUGAGAAUCCCGUC